rnacentral:lncRNA from 1 species
CAUUGGAGUUGUUUGACCUCAGCCAUCGAGUCUUGUGCAUCAUCCAAUUUGAUUGCCGUGGUGGGCCCUCAACUAUCUUUGCCUAGGUUCAACCCCCCUCAUCGAUAGCUGGCGGUUCUCGGCCUCCAUCACUUCUAGACCUCCUCUGACUAUCUAUCUACCAUACAAACCACUAGCUCUACAACUUGUUCGACAAAAGGCCACAAAGAAGCACCAGAACUAAUGCGAUUGCUCAUCUAACAAGCGCACCCUAUUGAUUCAACAUCAAAUAUGCCGGUGUGAGAUCUUUGCAAACUAGUCUGUAGUCUACUAUUGUUAUAAAUUAAAGACACAUUUGGCUGGGGGCAGUUGGAUCCUAAAAUUAGAUCGGAAUAAGUGACUCCCAAUCC